UUGGGUUUGGUCCAUUCUUGAUGACUGACAAUCAAGAAUGAACUUCUUUGUCAAUUAACUUGUUUCAGAUUAUAGAUCUUAAACACCGUAUAUACCAAAAGGAAGCAAAGAUGACAGAGAACAAUUUUCCAAAUGUCUUCUUCUUCUUAAGGCACCCCAUAUUUCUUUAUGCACAAACCAGCCACGUUUAGGACAAAGUCUGCAAAGCUUGCUCAGUCCAAAGCAGACUUGCCAACUUGCCAGGUCUUGAAAUUUCAGCUCCCUUUUCACAUAGAAUUUUAAAUAAUAAAGAUAACAGUGUUUGCCAA